rnacentral:rRNA from 1 species
GUAGGUGGCGAGCGUUAUCCGGAAUCAUUGGGCGUAAAGAGGGAGCAGGCGGCCGCAAGGGUCUGUGGUGAAAGACCGAAGCUAAACUUCGGUAAGCCAUGGAAACCGGGCGGCUAGAGUGCGGAAGAGGAUCGUGGAAUUCCAUGUGUAGCGGUGAAAUGCGUAGAUAUAUGGAGGAACACCAGUGGCGAAGGCGACGGUCUGGGCCGCAACUGACGCUCAUUCCCGAAAGCGUGGGGAGCAAAUAGGAUUAGAUACCCUAGUAGUCCACGCCGUAAACGAUGGUCACUAAGUGUCGGGGGUCAAACCCCGGUGCUGCAGUCAACGCAAUAAGUGACCCGCCUGAGUAGU